rnacentral:lncRNA from 1 species
GGCGUCAACAAUGCAUUAAUUUGUAUUAUAGGUCUAGUUUACGGUGAACCACAAGUGGUAGGUCAAUCAUAUUUGGUAUGCAGUUGUAUAAGCAUUCGCACAUCUCAUUUCCAUGGAGAAUAUUUGGCCCUGCCCCUUCAGUCAUGGUCUAUUGACUAUAAACUUUUGACUAUUUUACAUGUAUUAGUUGGUGAUUAGGUCAGUUUAUAGGGAACCACAAGUGGUAGGUCAAUGAUAUUUGGUAUGCAGUUGUAUAAGCAUUGGCAUAUCUCAUUUCCAUGGAGAAUAUUUGGCCUCACCCCUCAGUCACAGUCUAAUGACUUUAAAACUAUCUUAGUUUACAUGUAUUAGUUUAUGAUUAGAUCAGUUUAAGACGAACUGCUAAUGUUAAGUCAAUGAAAUCUAGUAUGCAAAUUUAUUGGUAUUUGCAAGUAUUGUUUCCAUGGAGAUUAUAUAGCCCAAAC